rnacentral:rRNA from 1 species
UUGAACGCUGGCGGCAGGCCUAACACAUGCAAGUCGAGCGGAUGAAGGGAGCUUGCUCCUGGAUUCAGCGGCGGACGGGUGAGUAAUGCCUAGGAAUCUGCCUGGUAGUGGGGGAUAACGUCCGGAAACGGGCGCUAAUACCGCAUACGUCCUGAGGGAGAAAGUGGGGGAUCUUCGGACCUCACGCUAUCAGAUGAGCCUAGGUCGGAUUAGCUAGUUGGUGGGGUAAAGGCCUACCAAGGCGACGAUCCGUAACUGGUCUGAGAGGAUGAUCAGUCACACUGGAACUGAGACACGGUCCAGACUCCUACGGGAGGCAGCAGUGGGGAAUAUUGGACAAUGGGCGAAAGCCUGAUCCAGCCAUGCCGCGGGGGUGAAGAAGGUCUUCGGAUUGUAAAGCACUUUAAGUUGGGAGGAAGGGCAGUAAGUUAAUACCUUGCUGUUUGGACGUUACCAACAGAAUAAGCACCGGCUAACUUCGU